AGCGCAAAAUGUGUGAUAAGUUUCACAUAAAGCUAAAUACCGGCGCGAGACCGAUAGCGAACAAGUACUGUGAAGGAAAGAUGAAAAGGACUUUGGAAAGAGAGUUAAAAGUGCCUGAAAUUGCUGAAAGGGAAGCGAUUGAAACUUUGGUUUCCCUUGGGUGCCACUGAGUAGGUGUAAUCUUGUUCUGCCAGCUUCCGUUAUAGGGGUUGGCGAAGCUUGCAUAUUGCUACUUGCUCAGUUGAUCCCUUGGGUUUGGUCAGCAUCAGCAGGUGCCGUGACUAUUCUCCCCAAGGAAGGUAAGCCCCUCGUGGGCUGUUAUAGCUUUGGGUUUGUUGUUCAUGCGCCUGCUGAGGUGUGUUUUUGCGCGUUCGCCGGCUCCACUUUCGAGUACUGGCGUUCAGCGGUGCUGUCCCUAACGGUUUCAACCGACCCGUCUUGAAACACGGACCAAGGAGUCUAACAUAUGUGCGAGUAUGCGGGUUGUACCCCUGUAUGCGCAAUGAAAGUGAGAGUAGGGAGAGGUUGGGUUCUUUCCUGGCUUCGCACCUACGACCGACCACGAUCUCUGUGAGAGGUUUGAGUUGUAGCACAUCUGUUAGGACCCGAAAGAUGGUGAACUAUGCCUGAGUAGGGUGAAGUCAGGCGAAAGCCUGAUGGAAGCUCGUAGCGAUACUGACGUGCAAAUCGUUCGUCAAACUUGGGU
rnacentral:rRNA from 1 species